AACGAACGCUGGCGGCAUGCCUAACACAUGCAAGUCGAACGAGACCUUCGGGUCUAGUGGCGCACGGGUGCGUAACGCGUGGGAACCUGCCCUUAGGUUCGGAAUAACUCCCCGAAAGGGGUGCUAAUACCGGAUAAUGUCUUCGGACCAAAGAUUUAUCGCCUUUGGAUGGGCCCGCGUUGGAUUAGCUAGUUGGUAGGGUAAAAGCCUACCAAGGCGACGAUCCAUAGCUGGUCUGAGAGGAUGAUCAGCCACACUGGGACUGGGACACGGCCCAGACUCCUACGGGAGGCAGAAGUGGGGAAUAUUGGACAAUGGGCGAGAGCCUGAUCCAGCAAUGCCGCGUGAGUGAUGAAGGCGUUAGGGUUGUAAAGCUCUUUUAACCGGGAUGAUAAUGACAGUACCGGGAGAAUAAGCUCCGGCUAACUCCGUG
rnacentral:rRNA from 1 species